rnacentral:rRNA from 1 species
UACGGGGGGGGCAAGCGUUGUUCGGAAUUACUGGGCGUAAAGGGCUCGUAGGCGGCCAACUAAGUCAGACGUGAAAUCCCCAGGCUCAACCUGGGAACUGCGUCCGAUACUGGAAGGCUUGAAUCCGGGAGAGGGAUGCGGAAUUCCAGGUGUAGCGGUGAAAUGCGUAGAUAUCUGGAGGAACACCGGUGGCGAAGGCGGCAUCCUGGACCGGCAUUGACGCUGAGGCGCGAAAGCCAGGGGAGCAAACGGG